rnacentral:rRNA from 1 species
AAGUCGGUUGUGAAAGCCUUCCGCUCAACGGAAGAACGGCAUCCGAUACUGCAUGGCUUGAGUGUGGGAGGGGAGAGUGGAACUUCUGGUGGAGCGGUGAAAUGCGUAGAUAUCUGAAGGAACACCGGCGGCGAAGGCGACUCUCUGGUCCAUAACUGACGCUGAGUGUGCGAAAGCUAGGGGAGCAAACGGGAUUAGAUACCCCGGUAGUCCUAGCCGUAAACGAU